rnacentral:rRNA from 1 species
CCUACGGGAGGCAGCAGUGGGGGAUAUUGCACAAUGGGGGGAACCCUGAUGCAGCGACGCCGCGUGUGUGAAGGAGUGCUUCGGCAUGUAAAGCCCUAUCGGCAGGGAAGAAGCAAGACGGUACCUGACUAAGAACCCCCGGCUCACUCCGGGCCAGCAGCCUCGGUAAUACGUAGGGGGCGAGCGUUAUCCGGAAGCACUGGGUGUAAAGGGAUCGUAGUCGGGCAUGCAAGCCAGGGGUGAAAGCCCGGGGCCCAACCCCGGGACUGCCCUUGGAACUGGGCGGCUAGAGUGCGGGAGGGGGAGGGGGAAUUCCGGGUGUAGCGGUGAAAUGCGUAGAUAUGAGGAGGAACACCGGCGGCGAAGGCGGCCUGCUGGACAGAGACUGACGUUGAGGCUCGAAAGCGUGGGGAGCGAACAGGAUUAGAUACCCCGGUAGUC